rnacentral:piRNA from 1 species
CUAUUAACCUGUUGGGCACAUGU